rnacentral:rRNA from 1 species
AUGAUCAUUGAGAAUGCGCCUUUCCUUGAGAGAUUGCUUGUAUCAGAUCAAGAAGGUCCAACAAAAAUCAGGGUCAUUGACGCACCGAAAUUGAUAGCGUUGGCGUACUUGUCUGCCGAAUUCUCCGAACUCUUUAUUGGAUUCGUAAUCGUUCAGAUAAAAAAAGACCCGAAAGUCAAAAAUAUGCUGCACUAUAACAAUCUCAUCGAAUGCCUUGAUCUCCAUCUUACAGAAAUUGAUUUGAUCGACUACCGAGGCAGCACAUCUAAGAUUAAAUUGGCCAGAGGUUCUUUGUUCUGGAGGCAAGUGUGCUCAAGCUAA